UAAGGAAUAUUGGUCAAUGGUUUAACAACUGAACCAGCGACGCCGCGUGUGGGAUGAAGGGGCUCUGCCUUGUAAACCACUGUCGGAUGGGACGAAAAGCGAGCUCCGCUCGCCCAGACGGUACCAUCAAAGGAAGGGUCGGCUAACUACGUG
rnacentral:rRNA from 1 species